AAACAAGGCUUUACUUUUACUGGUUUAUUACGGUUUUAUACUUUGAUCAGGUGUAAUUUCACUAAUUACAGAUUAAUACACAGUUGACAGUAGAUAGUAGACAGAUUUAGAUAAUCACUGUUAGGUAAGUUUAUUGAUUAAAGAUUACUUUAUAAUAUUACUUUAUAACGUUGUUUUUAUAACACUUGCUUUCAACUUGGUGCUUAUUAAAUAAUAGCUAAUUGGCUAAAUUUGAGCGGGAAGAAGGGGAAAGGUGCAAAAAAGGGGGAAAAAGUUGAACCAGAAAAAUAUGUAAACAAUAUGGCUGACUAUAGCAAUGAUAAUGUGACAAACUUUGACAAUUGCUCGUCUCUUCACCUCUUUUUUUACCUUUUCAGUAAACUCUCAAUUUUCAUCUUGUUAUUAAUAAAAAAUCAACAUGAUAAUCUUUAUAAACUUUUCUCUGAUUACUGUGAUUUAAUUGUGAUUAUGAUAAUUCCCAUGGAAAUUUGGAUUGUCAAAUGGUUUAAGAUAUUUUUCUCCUUCUUUAAUCUACAACUUCACCUUCAACUUCAAACUGUUCAUCAUCACUUUUUUUUGCAACUUUAGCUGAAAAACCAUCUUCACCAAUCAAUUUACACUUUACUCGAACUCUUACUCUUGUAGGUUAAUGAAAUUUUUAUGAAACCUCCACUUGCUGGUGUCUUUGUUUGCUUUGAGAUUAAAAGAUUAGCGAAAAAAGGUCCAAAAUUUUUAUCCUCUUUAAUAACUGGAACCCGAAAAAAAUACCAGGUAUUUACUCAAAUUCAGCGUCACAUGUUGGUGUGAAUUAGCCUUUGCCUUUACUUUAAAGAUAAUGACAUAUUGCAAUUGUUUAUUUGUUACUUGCCUUUUAAAACUCCUCCAGUUUCUCGUCAUCUUCGUCUUCCACAUCUCUCUCUCUCUCUCUCAAAUAAACCCUGUUGUCGGUCAUAAAUACAAUUUCUUUAUACAGAAUUGGACGACUUCCAUAAUCAUCUCUUCAACUCUUCUUACUUUCUUCGUUCUUGUCUCAGCUUCUGUCUUUCUAUGUUUCCCUUCUCCUUCUUCCUCUUCACUUUUCUUGUUCAACCACAAUUGCCAUCGUUGUCAUCAUUAUCAUCAUUAUUUGAUCUCUUGUGGCUCAUUCAUUUUUUUACAAUCAUGACUUAUUGAACUAUUUACUUAUAAUUAUUGUAUCUAUCAUCAUUGAUUUAUGAAAAAUGAAUAAAAACAAAGUGAUGAAACUUCAAUUACAAGAGUCACAAUUUUUAGGUUUAAAUGAUCAGACAACACCAAUUUCCCAUUGAGAAUAGCAUUAAUUUGUUAAAUGUGCAUUUUGAUCCAAGUCAAAGUUACACGUUUAGCUGUUGCUGUCAGAAUUGCUUGUCAAAAGCUAAAAAAAGUUGAACAAUUUUAUUCAAUGAUCAUAAUCAAUUCAUAAUUUUUUUCAUUUCAAAAUAGCUAAGUCAAGAAAAUGUUGAUGAUGACUUGAUCAAAAUAAGGGCAGAAACACUUUUGGGACUAAUAUGAAUGUUCAUCUUGCUUUCAUCUCAAGAGGGUUUGACAAUCAUGCAAUGAUAAAUCAUUUAACCAUGACAGAUCAGCUGUUAUUAUUAAUACAUAUAUAUACACCAUUGACAUUAGUUGUUGAUUCAAAUGAUUAAUUCAAAAUUAAUUUUCUCAUUCUUACGGAUCACGCAAUCAUUAAUAACUGAUAACCAAAAUGUGUGCUCAUUGAAGAGACUGGGAAAAGACGAAGUGAAAACAUGAACAUUUAGACUUGAUUGUUAAUUAAUAAUGGAUGAUGAACACAACAAAAAAGAGAUGUGAGAACAAUUGAAAAGAGAAAGUUGGAAGCUAAUCUUGAUAAUUUUAGGUAAACGUUUACAUGGAAUGAAAGAAAAGAUAAAAGAAAAAUAAUUUCAUACAUUCAAUAUAAAUCUUGUGAUUUUUGUUUCAAACAAUGACAAACUCGGCAAUAUAAUAUGAUAACGAUAUUACUGACAAAUGAGGUUAAAGAUAAUAUUUCUGGUUGCCUUCUUGCACCAGAAAGUCAUAAUCUUUUGUUUAUGGUAACUGACUAAAUCAGUGAUUGGAUGAUUUUUGGCGCCUUAAUGUCGCUCUAAUCCUUAACUGUCUGGUUAACUGUCUUUUAAUUUAAAGAAAAUUGGUCGACAACUCACAGUUCAAGUCUUACACUGUCUUUUUGAUUUUGUUAAUUUUCUGGUUGACAUAACAUUAGCUUUAAUUUUUUGUAAUGUGAUUUUUGUCCAUUUUUCUGCUCCGUUUUUUUUAAUACAGUGAAUCUCAACCAAAAUUGGACCAUUUUUGGGUUUGGAAAGAUUGGAUAAAAACUUGGAAAGACAGAGAAGAACCAAAAACAAGUCAAAUAAUACUUUUUUUCAACUAUCAUCUUUACCAUCGUUUUCAAAAUGGAUUCAAAUGCGUACUUUGUCACAAAUUAUUAUUAUUAUCGUCAACAUGAUGAGUAGUACUUUGAUUUGACUCUCUUGAAGAUUUAAUUAUGAUAACAAGCCAAUGAGACCAGGAUCGUUACGUAAUAAAAAAUAAAACUGAUGAUGAUAACAGAGUUAACUAUCAAUGGAUGCUUCUGGUGGAUCCCUUGUUUAGCUUACGGGUAAAUAAAUUGUAUCAUUAACAUUUGCUUCUUGAUUUACUUGCUUAAGGCUUUCUCUCAGUGUUUCAAACAUAUUUCCUAGGGAAUGUUGGCCAUCUCUAGUCAAUUGAAAAUCAAAGAGGAGAUGAAGAGAGAAUGUGGAAAUUCUCAUCAUAACUGGUCUUCAAGUUAUGUAAAGCGCGCCAAAGCAACAACGUUGGUUACAGCCAUAUUAAACCUGAAAAGUAACAAAAAUCUGGUCAUCAUAGCCACCAUUUUUCUUUCAUCUUCUCUUUCAGAUAAAAUCUGAAUCAACUGAUAACCGACAAUUUAUUUCAUUCAUAUCGUGUUGCUGCUUCCAUUGCUUUAUACGCUCUCCAUGUAUCUUUUUUUCAACGCCGCGGUUAUCAUUUUUGACAGUAGCCGAUGCUGUUAAUGAACCUGAAAGAUAUUUUUCUCUGGGUAAGGCGAAAUUGAAGAGCAAAAAAGGAGCAACCAGAAAACAAGGCAAACAAAAUCAACUUUUUUUUCCCUGUUAACAGUUAAUUAAUUUUGCAACUAUUAAAUGUUUCAAAGUUUAAGCCUCUCACCAAUUUAGUAUUGCUGGGCUAAUUGCAGUCUCUCACUCUGUUGAUACUUAAUUGUGUUAAUUAAUAUUCAACUUGAGACCAUUUUCUGCUCCAUACCUUACAUUGAAACAUUGCGAAAAAGUUAGCUUUUUUUCCCUUCAAACCUGACUGACUGUCUUGUCAAUCAAUUUGCUAAUUCACUCAUUUAAAGUUUAAUUAGUAGGAUAAACUACUGCGAUUGGGGAUACAUUAUACUUAUGUAAAUUAUCAUUGGCAGUUUAAUCAAACACUCAUUCCUAAACUCCCAAGUAACACUGUAAAGCCAAACUAGGAAAACUUUAUUUACAUUGAAAUGUCAAACAAGGAUAAAUGGUAUUGUUAAAUUGUUACAUUGUUAAAAUUAUCUUUGAAUUGUAAUGAAGGCUAAUCAAACUAAGUAAAUACUGUUAAUCACUUAAUUAACACCAAAAUGAGGAUAUAAACACGUUUAAGGUGUUGAAUGUUAAUUACCAGUUGAUCAAUCAAUGGAAGUGAACAAAAAAGUGGUUUCCCAUUUGACAACCCAAAAAGUAGGCAAUUGAACCCACAACUUAUCCCUCUGUGAAAACACUUGGAUCAAUCAAAUAAAAUGUCAACUGUAAUAACCUGAGAAGAGAGAUGAUUAACCUGUUCAGGUGAUUAGUUAGGCUGAUCAUGUAAAGUAUCCAAUUUUUGGGUUAAAAACUGAACAUUAACAAAUUGUAAUUUGAUUGAAAAGAGCAACAAAAAUUGAAUUGAAAAAGUGAAUCUUUUCCAGAUUGUAAUUUGCACUUGAUGGCAUUGAAAUUGGAUUAAGAAAUUUAAAUAUUACCAUCAUCAUCAUCAUGAGAGGAUAUUUCAUCAUAAUCAUCCUGAGCACCAGAUUUUUGGUGUUUCCAGAUAGGAGCAAGCAAAAACCUUGAGGCUGACAAUUAAAGAUGAAGAACGGAAAAAUCUUGAAGAGUUUUGGUAAACAUUAUUAUGAUAUUUUUAUUACAUUGGAACAUCAUUAAACAACUUUAAUCAAUUGACUAUUGAUUCUAA